AGACCUCCUUAGUCGGCAGGGUUGCCCUCGCUCUCCUAAAGCGGGUGCCGCAGGUUCGAAUCCUGCCGGGG
rnacentral:tRNA from 1 species